rnacentral:lncRNA from 1 species
UUGUUUUUUUCUAAUAAAAAUCACUGAAUUAAAAGAAAUCAACUACUUAGCAAAAUCAAACAAAUUCUUAUGUACAAAGAUGUAAAAAAAAAAUAACUAAAUUUUAUUUUUAAAAUCAGGGUCCUUAUGUUAAAAUGAAGCAUUACAAAAAUAAAAUUCUAAGAUAAAUAUUUGAAAGUUGAGAUUCCAUCACAUAAGACAUACUAACAGGCACAGAUCAUCUGAAGCACUAUUUUGAGGGUUAUACCGAAUGCCAACAUAAAACAUGUAACUUCAUUCUUACUGACCUAACGGUUUUAAUCAAACUAAAUAAAUGAAAAAGAUCUAAAACAAGUAAGCAAACUACUUACAUGAGGGUCACAUGAAUUUGACUAGCACUUAUGUAACUAUAUGAACAUAUUAUGCUUAAAUCAUUUUUUUUAGUUUUAUCCUAGAAUAUUAUGACUCAUAUAUUACACAAGUUCAAAGCACUUUUGUUCCAUUGGGAGAUUCAUCAAAUAAUAUUUUCAUUUUAAACAAUUAUAAGGUAAUAUUUAAAAUAAAAAAAAAAAAACAGAUCUUAUCAAAUUUUAUACAGUUCAGGAUUGUAUUAAACAAAAAUAGAAAUCUAUCAAAAAUCUAUAAAGGUCAGGAUUAUAAAAAAAAAUUAUUCAAGAUUGUUUAGAGAGGUUUUAAUAAAUAUGAGAUUCAGAUUCAUAUGUUUUGCCAAAAUAGAGUAUUUGUAUAACUUCAUCAAAAUUUUCUUUGGCAAGAUCUUUGCAUUGGAACAUAUAAUGUAAGAAACUGUAUUAAUCUAUUCCAUCUGUACUCAAAUAACAAUACAGUCAAAAGCAUUGCUUCAAAGCAGUUGCAAAUUAACACGAAGGACAACAUCUAGCAUUGGAAGACUUAUUUCUUUGAUUAAUUAAAACAAAAAUAGAGAUAGUUUCAAAAUUUGUGCCAAAAAUGCACAAUAAAAAUUUAAAAAUACUCUGAAAAUCUCAACUGGCAUUUAUACAUUUCAUGAAUAUAUUGAAAAUUCAUGUUAGUACUUCACAAAAACUAUAAAAAAUAUAGGCCAUAUCUCAACAAUAGAUAAA